rnacentral:rRNA from 1 species
CCUACGGGUGGCAGCAGUGGGGAAUAUUGCACAAUGGGGGAAACCCUGAUGCAGCAACGCCGCGUGAGUGAAGAAGUAUUUCGGUAUGUAAAGCUCUAUCAGCAGGGAAGAAAAUGACAGUACCUGACUAAUAAGCCCCGGCUAACUACGUGCCAGCAGCCGCGGUCAGACAUAGGGGGCAAGCGUUAUCCGGAUUUACUGGGUGUAAAGUGAGCGUAGACGGCUGCGCAAACCAGAAGUGAAAGCCCGGGGCUCAACCGCGGGACUGCUUUUGAAACUGGAUAGCUAGAGUGAAGGAGAGGUAAGUGGAAUUCCUGGUGUAGCGGUGAAAUGCGUAGAUAUUAGGAGGAACACCGGUGGCGAAGGCGGCUUACUGGACUGUAACUGACGUUGAGGCUCGAAAGCGUGGGGAGCAAACAGGAUUAGAUACCCGGGUAGUC